GACGAACGCUGGCGGCGUGCUUAACACAUGCAAGUCGAACGGAAAGGCCCUGCUUUUGUGGGGUGCUCGAGUGGCGAACGGGUGAGUAACACGUGAGUAACCUGCCCUUGACUUUGGGAUAACUUCAGGAAACUGGGGCUAAUACCGGAUAGGAGCUCCUGCUGCAUGGUGGGGGUUGGAAAGUUUCGGCGGUUGGGGAUGGACUCGCGGCUUAUCAGCUUGUUGGUGGGGUAGUGGCUUACCAAGGCUUUGACGGGUAGCCGGCCUGGGAGGGUGACCGGCCACAUUGGGACUGGGAUACGGCCCAGACUCCUACGGGAGGCAGCAGCGGGGAAUAUUGCACAAUGGGCGGAAGCCUGAUGCAGCAACGCCGCGUGCGGGAUGACGGCCUUCGGGUUGUAACCCGCUUUCGCCUGUGACGAAGCGUGAGUGACGGUAAUGGGUAAAGAAGCACCGGCUAACUACGUG
rnacentral:rRNA from 1 species